AUCAAACACAUGACUCUCAAAGGGACUGUGUAACAUAUCUGCUGCUCACCUCACUUCCUGACCUAGCCUAACACAACUUUCAAAGUGAAGGCCUCUCACUGCUGGCCGAAGAUGGAGACAAUAGAUACUUCAUGUCCAAAGACACACCAUGAAAAAGUAGUGAAGCAGCUUCUCUCCAGCUGGUUAGGUGAUUCUUCAACCUCUUAUCUACGUCAAGGGUAUAAAUGAGUCAGCACAGAGAUUAUGAAAAGUCUUUUGAGAAGGAGAUUCUUAGAAAAAACUUUGCUGUAAACCCCUAACUUCAUAUAGAACAAGGAAUGUGUGUAUGUGUGCAUGUGCACACACGCAGGGGGUGUUGAUCCUUCUUCCUUCAAAUCAUUGAAACCAUGUAGAAGAUUUGGUAUCUGUCACUUUCAGUAAGGAGCAUAGUAGCCUGGUGCCUGACUCCUACUUAACCAAAGGACAAGGAUGAGCCAGGUAGGUGUGGCUGGAUGAGCUGAUGGCAAGGGGGCUGCUUUGUGUGAAUAGUGCUUCUAGAGUAUGUUAGGCAAAGCGAGUGUUUCUCUGGACCAGAAGUGGACCCUAGGUGAUACCAAGUGUGAAGUUAUCUCAGGACCUGUUCAAAAGGACUUGCUGUGAAGGUAAUGGGAACUCAAUGGAGAGAAGCUGAAGGUAUUCAUUGCUAGGUUCUUGGGAAGUCAAGAAUGAGUAAGUGGUCAUCUGGAAAAGCCAAGUGUCUGAAUAUAUAAAGGGAGAGACUCCUAGUGAUUGUUUUAGAGAUGGAUUCUCAAGGACCAUGAAAGUGUCCCAUCAGAGAGAGCAUUGGGUAAAAACAUUUGCCAAGCUCAGAACAAAAGGCAAGCUUCUAACAGUGCCAGAUUUUCCUGAGUGGAGAGGAGGAAAGAAUGAGCCCUCCUCCCACCCCUGGAACACCCCCUGGGACAAGCCCGGGGACCUUGGGUCUCUAAUCACAGUGGAACAGGACAUUGGAUCUUAUCACUGACCAGGAGCUGAACAUCAGAACAAUGUUGGGAAAAGGAGUGAUUUUGCCUGGCAGGUGUGUGUGUGUGUGUGUGUGUGUGUGUGUGUGUGUGUGUGUGUGUACACAGAAAGAAUUCUCUAUGGCAUUGGUUUGUUCUCUUUCAGAUGCAACAUCUUUAGGGUGAUGUCAGACACUGGUAAGAAAGCUGCCUUUGUUGUAACUGGCGAUGUUCAUCCUGAAAUGAGGGUCCCAGGACCAACCUGGGAAGAAAUGACGUGAGGCAACAAGGCCUUUUAUGGGUGGGAGGGAUAGACUCGUAGGAUGCUGCACAUGGAUGGCAUUCAGAGCUCAUCCUGCUUUUGGCUCUUAAGAUGUAGCUUAACUCACCUGGAGAGAGUUUUUAAGAAACAGGUACGAAGACCCCAGCCCCAGAAGGGCUAGAUCGUGGUAUCCAGAAUAACAUCUGGCGUGAGAAUUGGAUAACGUUUUGGGGAGAUUCUGAUUCAUAUUCUUGAUGAAGUACCAUCAGACAAGUCCAACUCUUUCAUUUUACAUUUAUGUAUCCUCCUCAUCAGAGAUCAACUUUCUUUAGGAACAAAAUUAAUAUCCCAAAUUCAAAGACUUGAAAAUAAUGCAGUCCUACCAAGGCAAAUGGAAAUAGUCACAACCUCUGGGUCCAGCUCAUCAUUUUCCAGGAGAGGUGGUGAGAUAAUUAAAGAAAAGACACACAUCUGGCAAAUGAUAGCAGCAGGUUUAGGAUUUGGAUUCCCUGACUCCUGAAGCAGUUUUUCUUUCCAGUACACUCUCUUGCCCUCUGUUUUGCUUAGAGCUUAAAUCUAGCCAAUGAACUGAAUUGAUUAACUCCAGUAAUAUCAACACUAUCUCCCUUAAUGAGCAGUUCAUAUGGUUAUACUUUCCCAAAUCAUUCUACUUUAUUUAGAAGCUUAGUUUUGUUUUGUUUUGUUUUGUUUUCAUUUUCUUUUAUUGGGGAAUGUCAACAUUUAACACCCACUGGGUGCGGAUGAGCAGUUUUCUGGGGCAUGGAAGACGUAGCACCCAAAGCAGUCGUGAGAUUCUGUCACUGCUCUGGGCAUUGGAUGUCUUUCUUGGUUAUGCCCCAGUAGAAACUACAGUCCCUCUUCCUGGUCACAUCAUCACCAUUGUGACUGGCUCACUCUCUGUGGCCGAAACGAUUUCUGAGCAAGAGCAUCCGCUGACUCCUUAAAAAUACUCCUUAAAAAUAAACCUGUUUUAGCCAGGUUCACACACUUUCAUCCUUUUUAUGUCUUUAAUUAAAAACUAAAAAUAUCCUUUACCCUGAGUGAUGAAUUGGGCUAAAUGCCUUAUUAUAAGCACCCACGACCUUUGGAGUGAAUGAUUCAAGCUGUGAUUAAAUGCAAAUUGGUGCUUAAGAAUAAUUAGGCUGGGUGGCCUGCAAGCCAAGGGAGCACCGGAUCCAAUUACUUCUUUCCUGCAUGUUGAGCGCCUGAUCGAUCACACUUCUUGCUAUGGAACAGCUGGAAUCACACCUUCCUAAGUGCAGGGAUGGACUUUAGAUGAGAUCAAAAUAAACAUUCAUAAUAUGAAAAUCCUAUCAAGGCAGAUGGAAAUGGACACAAGCUUUGGGUCCAUGUAAUAAUUUUCCUUUAGUGACAAAUUAGCUCGAACCACGUCAGCAGACUAGCUUUCCCAGAAAAAGGCACUGCGAUGGGGUCGGGGUAUCUAAAACCCCUGAGAACCUGGCUUGGUGUCAUUAUAGAACUUGCUCUAAUUCCUUAGCCCAUGGCUUACGCAUCAAACUAACUGCUCAGAUAGUUUUUGGUCCUUUAAAUGUAAUAGCUAUUUCUGUAAAGCCUUUACCUAUCAGGCCCUGUAUGAGACACUUUGCAUGUUUCAUUUGAUUGUCAUAACUGCUCUAUGAGAAAAGUACAAUCAUCACUAUUUCACACAAGGGGAAAUGGAGGUAUAGAGAAGUACCCCAGAUGACAAAGUUAAUAAAGAGACUUUCAGAGAAGUGCUGGAUAACAGAAUAUGGUUGUAUCAGGAUGAACUCAAAAACGACCAGAAAAACAGUUCAACAGUUGGCCUGCUGUUGCUGAGUCAGUAGCAUCUUUAAACAGGAGCAGUAUAUAAGAGCAUGUGUCGAUGCCUGUGUUCUGAGCAGCUACAUCUUAAAGGGAUUCCCCCCCCCCAUAUGUGUCUCUGAACAGGAAUAUAGUUCAUCCUUAAGAUGCUUAGGGUUUGGGGAAAAGUUAAAUGACGUUUGUGGAAUAAAGGAAUGAAAAUAUUUUUCAAGACUAUAAUGAAUACUUUUCAUUAGGGAUUGUUUGAAAAGAGAGACAAAAGGAAGAAAGUGUUUUUUCAUGUAACUGCUAUGCCUCUGUGUGCAUUUUGCUAUAUUUUCCUAUAAUUUUAUUCUCUACCAUAUGUAUCAGUUAUCUAUUUUGUAUAAGAAAUUAUCCUCAAUUUAGUGUCUUAAAACAACAACCACUAUGGAGUUCCCAUCAUGGCUCAGUGGUAAUGAACCUGACUAGUAUCCAUGAGGACAUGGGUUUGAUCCCUGGCCUCUCUCAGUGGGUUAAGGAUCUGUUAUUGCUGUGAGGUGUGGGUUGCAGACCUAGCUUGGAUCCUGUGUUGCUGUGGCUGGGGUGUAGGCCGGCAGUUGCAGCUCCGAUUCGACCCCUAGCCUAGGAACCUCCACAUGCUGCGGGUGUGGCCCUAAAAAGACAAAAAAAAAAAAAAAAAAAAAAAAAAA
rnacentral:lncRNA from 1 species